AAUACUGCAAAAGUUUAUCGAGAAUUAAUUUUUUUAUAGCUAAUUUCAAAUGGAAAAUUCUAAUUCAAGAGUUUGAGAAGCAAUUGCUGGGCUUUUGGUAGUCAAUAGGUUUUGAAUGAGCUUGGAUUAAGCUAAGAGAGGAGAAAUUGAGAUUUUUUUGACUAAAUUGCAAAGUUGCUUCAUCUACCAUGGAUCAUUGGGCAAAACUAGUGAGAUAUUAUAGGAGAGUAUUUGUUGAGUUUUGGGCCUAGUGGAUUUGUCCGUCCUCGUCUCAGUGAUGAGCAAAAUUUUUCUGGCCCCAAUGUCAAUUGUGUUAAUUUUUCUGCAGUUCCAUGGCGGACAAAACCGCGAGCCCAUGUUUUUGAUGUUGACUCGUCCUAGUACGACUCGUCUCAGUUUAUUGGAAUACCCAGGUGUUAAAGGCCAAUUUUGGGCCAUCCCUAAAUUACUCAGCCCAAUACAUCAAACCCCAAGACCCAAACAUCUAACCCAAACCCAGUUGGCCCACUAAAACCUAAACCAACCACUACCCAAACCUUAACCCAUCAAACCCACAACAACCCAAUGACUAAACCUAACCCACUUACAACCAAUUACCCGAACCCAAUACAAAACCCUUAGCCCAACUAAACACUAAGCCCAAUACCAUAAAUCAGAAACAAAAAAUACAUAAACCCUAACCCUAGCUUGUGGCGUCGAAUCCUCUGACAUUCGGCCACCCACCGUUCAUCCACUCUCUGCUCCACCGCCCUAAUACCUGCAAGAAGAGACAGAAACAAUAAAAAAUAAUUGAAAGAGGGUUAUAAAACCCGAAUCAGAAUUAUAAAAUGUAACACCCAAAACCCGGCCUAGACGUUAUGGCUGGAUCCGACAUGCCACAUCGAAGCAUUCAAAACAUUUUAUAUUGUUGAUCCAGAAAAACCAACGUAGUGUUUUAAAAGAUAAUUUCAUUAUAGGUUAAAGUGAAUGGAAGCUGUGCACCAGGUAGGAAAUCGGAAAAGAGGUGGUGAGUCCAUCGGACUGCUUAAGUACCAAGCUCCCUUCGGAUCCAAUCCUAGACAUGCAUACCGCCAUUGCCACACCUUAACGUCAUGGAUAUUUCUAGGAAACUGAUUUGAUUAUGUCAUUUUUAGGAAAAGUGAUUAAUUUUGGAAAAUACUUUCAUCGCAGAAGCUUUGCUUGUUGUCGUGUUAUUUUGAAGUCAAUUGUUAUUUUUGAAAACGCGCCCUAAAGCUAUCCAAUUUCAACAGUUAAAAUAAGUAAUACCUAUCUUAGUAAUACAUAUUAAAACCAUCAAAAAUAAUUAAGCGGCCUUAUUACAUUUAAAAACCCAAACCUCAACGUAAAUAAUAGGAUGUCCAGUUCACCAGAAGAAAACCAAACUUUCAGAAGGGGUGGCCACUCCGAAUUCUUUCACAGCUCCAAGCCCACUAUGGUUGGGGAUUACCUGCGUGGAUGAAAAUAAAAGGGGUGAGUUUGGGGAAACUCAGUGUGUAAGGAAAACCCAUUCAAAGCCCAAGUUAGCUCAAGCCUAUUGGGCCUAAGCCCAUUCAGGUAACAGUGGUACUGGGCCAGAGCCCUUUUCAGAUUACAAUAAACUGGGCCUUAGCCCCUUAUUCAGAUAACAGUAUGGCCCAUAGGCCCAUUUCAAAAUACAUGCAACAUUAGUAAACAUAUGCAAGCCCAUUUGGGGAGACUACUCAACCCACCAACCACUACACUCCACCCGUACCAGCCAUACACUCCAUGUGGGGAAUAGCUCAACCCACCCAGCCCAACACUCCACAGUUGCAGCCUUGCUGCUCAGUUAACAGUAAAUUGAGGCAAAGCCUCCAGUACGUGGACAAGCCACUUUCAGUACUUCCUCCGUCAAUAUCCCAGUCCCAUGCAUCAGAUAAUAACAACAUGGCAUGCAGUAAAUAACAACAGUCAAACAUGCAUUUAGGUCAAUUUAACCCUAGGGGUAUUUCGGUAAUUUAUCUCCUAGGGGUAAAACUGUAAAUUUUCCACUUUUAAAGAUAUUUCAGUAAUUUAUCUAUUUUAGGGUUUUUCUUGCAUAUUCCUACCUUUCAUGUACUAACAGAAUCACUACCGAGGGUUCUUACCGAAUUGGGCCCGUUGGCCCAUCAUUCCAAUUUUGGCCCAUUAAGCCCAAAAAUAUCGAGGGCACAGAAAUCAUGCACUUUGCAAUCCAAAUUUUGCAGUUUACCAAAAACAUUAAUCGAUUUACCUCACGAGCAUUCGCACACUCGCAAAUCUACAAAAUACCGGUUUUCGGCAUUUCGGCAUUUCGACUUUUGCCGAUCUAGACUAAGAAAGAGGGUGUUAGUUACACACCUGUUUGCGACGAUAUGCUGACGAGAUCCACACACGAACCGCCUACAAUUGAAUUACUAACACGUUAAUCUAACUAUUCAAAUACAAACUACAUAUUAAUACCUUACAAUAUUCGGCCAACCACACCUACAGAUCAUAGUAAGCUUAUAAGAAAUCAAUAAGCAACUCAUUAACAAAUUUUUGUCAAUGUUUACCACAUAAUCAUAAUCUCGCUGCAAGCUGUCUUCCUGAACAACAGUCACUAAAUCAUUUAUAACUGGAGCUACGAAACUCCAAAUCAAGUGCCGUUAAUUUUACCUGAAAAUAGACUCAUAUAUCUUCUAUCCAUAAAAUUUUCAGAAUUUUUGGUUUAGCCAAUCAAUACCAUAUUUUUCUUAAAGUUUCCCAUGUUUCACUGUUUGACUAAUCUGACCACUCUUCAUUACGAAUCAAAUUUCUCAUUGUACAGAAUUCAAAAUAUGUUCUCGUUUAUUUAAUUUGAAACUAGACUCAACAAGCUUUAAUUACAUAAUUUAUUUAGCUUCUAAUUCAUCUCUCACAAUUUAUGGUGAUUUUCCAAAGUCACAUUACUGCUGCUGUCCCAAGCAGAUUUAUUACCAAAUUCACUCUUUCACACCUAACUUGCAUGCUUGUUAUUUAAACAUGUAUAUCACCAAUCAAUCAUCACAUAUCUAUGAUUUUACUUAAGUAUAAUCUCCAUUUCAUCAUUUUAAAGCACAACAUGUUAGCCAAUUUUUCCCCUUAGCAUCUAAGGCACAUGCAUGCUCAUUUGUUUGGCUCAACUUCACCUAUCUUCCAUUUUUCAUCAAAAGAACAUGAAACAACAACCAUUUCCUUCAUUUUAAUUCAUGACUAAAUGCUCACAACACAACCAAAAACCAAAAUAUGCUUCAAGAGUUAAGGUAGAAUCAAGAAGAACUCAUGAACAUCAAGAUAGAAGCAAACUACCAUGAACUUACCUUCAAUUUUCUUCCCCAAGUGACCGAACAUUCAUGAGCUUUCUCCUCUCUUUCUCUUCUCUAACUUUAGGCUAUGA
rnacentral:lncRNA from 1 species